AGGUUCGUCCGCCCUGGGUUAGUCGGGACCUAAGCUGAGGCCGAAAGGCGUAGGUGAUGGACAACAGGUUGAUAUUCCUGUACUACCGAUAACCGUUUGAGAGAAGGGAUGACACAAUAGGAUAAGCUAAGCACACUGUUGGUUAUGUGUGCCCAAGCAUUGAGGCAGUCAAAGCAGGCAAAUCCGCUUUGAUAAUGCUGGGAUGUGAUGGGGAGCGAAAUUUAGUAGCGAAGUAGCUGAUUUCACACUGUCAAGAAAAGUCUCUAUCGAGGUUAAAGGUACCCGUACCGCAAACCGACACAGGUGGGUGAGGAGAGUAUCCUAAGGCCAGCGAGAGAACUGUUGUUAAGGAACUCGGCAAAAUGACCCCGUAACUUAGGGAUAAGGGGUGCCACCAUCAGGUGGCCGCAGAGAAUAGGCCCAAGCGACUGUUUACCAAAAACAUAGGUUUCUGCUAAGUCGCAAGACGAUGUAUAGGAGCUGACGCCUGCCCGGUGCUGGAAGGUUAAGGGGAUCUGUUAGAGCAAUCGAAGCAGUGAACUUAAGCCCCAGUAAACGGCGGCCGUAACUAUAACGGUCCUAAGGUAGCGAAAUUCCUUGUCGGGUAAGUUCCGACCCGCACGAAAGGCGUAACGAUUUGGGCACUGUCUCAACAACAGACUCGGUGAAAUUGUAAUUCCGGUGAAGAUGCCGGAUACCUGCGACAGGACGGAAAGACCCCAUGGAGCUUUACUGUAGCUUGACAUUGGGUCUUGGUACUACAUGUACAGGAUAGGUGGGAGGCUUUGAAACCAGGACGCCAGUUUUGGCGGAGCCAUCCUUGGGAUACCACCCUUGUAGUACUGGGACUCUAACCAUAGGCCAUGAAUCUGGUCUUGGGACACUGUCAGGUGGGCAGUUUGACUGGGGCGGUCGCCUCCCAAAAGGUAACGGAGGCGCUCAAAGGUUCUCUCAGUACGGUCGGAAAUCGUACGUAGAGUGUAAAGGCAAAAGAGAGCUUGAUUGCAAGACAUACAGGUCGAGCAAGGAUGAAAAUCGGACUUAGUGAUCCGGUGGUUCUGCGUGGAAGGGCCAUCGCUCAACGGAUAAAAGCUACCCUGGGGAUAACAGGCUUAUCUCCCCCAAGAGUCCACAUCGACGGGGAGGUUUGGCACCUCGAUGUCGGCUCAUCACAUCCUGGGGCUGUAGUAGGUCCCAAGGGUUGGGCUGUUCGCCCAUUAAAGUGGUACGCGAGCUGGGUUCAGAACGUCGUGAGACAGUUCGGUCCCUAUCCGUCGCAGGCGUAGGAAAUUUGAGAAGACCUGUCCUUAGUACGAGAGGACCGGGAUGGACGUACCUCUGGUGUACCAGUUGUCCUGCCAAGGGCAUGGCUGGGUAGCUAUGUACGGAAUGGAUAAGCGCUGAAAGCAUCUAAGCGCGAAGCCAACUUCAAGAUAAGAUUUCCCACCGCAAGGGUAAGACCCCAGAAAGACUAUCUGGUUGAUAGGUCGAAGGUGUAAGUGCAGCAAUGUAUUUAGCUUAUCGAUACUAAUAGGUCGAGGACUUGACCAA
rnacentral:rRNA from 1 species